CGGGGUUACCAUAAGUUUGUUCACAUGGGGCUUUUAGUGUUUUAUGAUGCAGUAAAUAAGCAGUAAAUUUUUUUUUGUUUUAUAUUUAAUGUGCUAAGAAGAAUGGAUGUGUUACUAAAUGUGUUGAAGUAAAAUUACUAAUGAAUAAUAGGUUAAUAAGAUAACUACCAUAUUACCUUGUGGCAAGGGUACAAAAUUUAAAGUUUGCCGACAAAACUUCUUCUUCCACUCUUGUGUACCUCUCCAUCUUAAAGACGAAAGUCUUUGAUGGUUGCAUCCUCUAGUAAUGGUGAUGUCACUUUGUUCUUUGGCUUGGCCAGCAGAUUGAAGUAGAUCUUUAAUAGCAGCUGGCAGCAUCUUGCUUAGUGUGUAUGCUCACAACACUUUCACUUGUAGGAUUAACAAUUUUGCUCGAAGUGUUAUACUAUUUACAAAACUAAGGUUGAGAUCAAGUGUAUGGGCUCUGCUGGUGGACAAACACCAACAAAACCAAAUAUAUCUCUUUAUUUAUUUUUUUCUCUAUCCUUAGGCACAU
rnacentral:lncRNA from 1 species